rnacentral:rRNA from 1 species
ACUCCUACGGGAGGCAGGCAGUGGGAAUAUUGGGACAAUGGGCGCAAGCCUGAUCCAGCCAUGCCGCGUGUGUGAAGAAGGCCCUCGGGUUGUAAAGCACUUUCAGUGAGGAAGAAAGCUUGUCGGUUAAUACCCGGCAAGGACGACAUCACUCACAGAAGAAGCACCGGCUAACUCCGUGCCAGCAGCCGCGGUAAUACGGAGGGUGCGAGCGUUAAUCGGAAUUACUGGGCGUAAAGCGUGCGUAGGCGGCUUGGUAAGCCGGUUGUGAAAGCCCCGGGCUCAACCUGGGAACGGCAUCCGGAACUGUCAGGCUAGAGUGCAGGAGAGGAAGGUAGAAUUCCCGGUGUAGCGGUGAAAUGCGUAGAGAUCGGGAGGAAUACCAGUGGCGAAGGCGGCCUUCUGGACUGACACUGACGCUGAGGUACGAAAGCGUGGGUAGCAAACAGGAUUAGAUACCCUGGUAGGCUCUG